GCUCCCGGCAGGCUCUGGGCUGGGUGGGGCUGCAACGCGCCUGCGCGCCGCCUGGGGGAGCCCGGGGCACGCGGCCGGCGGCGCGGGGCUGCGUGGGCGUUCGGUCCGGUCCGGUCCGGUUCGGUUCAAUCCGGUCCGGUCCGGCGCGCGCGGUCUGCGCGGCCCGCGGGGCUCCUCUGUGUGGCCAAGCGUGGCCAUCACCCGAAGCACAGGGUGCAGCCGGCUCUACUCUGGAUUUCCUGGAUGUCUGCGAGGGACUAGCCAUGACUGUGCUGCGAGGAAGAGGGGCCACGAGGCAUGAGGGCUGGACACGUGCUGGUGACGUGGCUCACGCUCCUCGUGGCGGUACCGGGGUCUCUCUUCCAAACAAAGUCAGGAUCCAUCAAUGCCCUGGCUUCAAACAGGACCCGCAAACACCUGACGGCCUUUGCAGAAGCUCCUCCAGCCCCUGGUGAUGUUAAAUUAAAUUUUUGCCAGAUGAAUAAUUUUCACCGAAAGGGAAAUUGCUAAAGAAAGGGCCUGCUCAUUAAAGAAAGUUAAAUUCCCGA